rnacentral:rRNA from 1 species
GCGGAGGAAAAGAAACCAACAGGGAUUGCCCUAGUAACGGCGAGUGAAGCGGCAACAGCUCAAAUUUGAAAUCUGGCUCUCGGGCCCGAGUUGUAAUUUGUAGAGGAUACUUUUGAUGCGGUGCCUUCCGAGUUCCCUGGAACGGGACGCCAUAGAGGGUGAGAGCCCCGUCUGGUUGGAUGCCAAAUCUCUGUAAAGUUCCUUCGACGAGUCGAGUAGUUUGGGAAUGCUGCUCUAAAUGGGAGGUAUAUGUCUUCUAAAGCUAAAUAUUGGCCAGAGACCGAUAGCGCACAAGUAGAGUGAUCGAAAGAUGAAAAGCACUUUGAAAAGAGAGUUAAAAAGUACGUGAAAUUGUUGAAAGGGAAGCGUUUAUGACCAGACUUGGACUUGGUUAAUCAUCUGGGGUUCUCCCCAGUGCACUUCUCCAGUUCAGGCCAGCAUCAGUUUUCGCCGGGGGAUAAAGGCAGCGGGAAUGUGGCUCUCUUCGGGGAGUGUUAUAGCCCGUUGUGUAAUACCCUGGUGGGGACUGAGGUU